AAGAAAUUGCAAUAAAAAAAUGAAUUGUAAAGAACACAUUUAUUAUAUAAAAUAUAAUAAAUGUUACUACAAGAGAAAUAUUUUUAAAAAAUUAUGAAAAUAAAAAACUAAUCAAAUAAUGUUCCAAAAUCUACAUUGUCGUCUGGCACAUGCGGCUCGGAGGUCUGGGGGUCUACAUGGGCCGUCGUCUGGUGGGGAUGCUCGGGGCAGACAGGCUCAGAGGUCGGCGCAUCAAAAUGCGGGACUGGAAUGCGGGACUGUGCGAGAGACUGCAGAAUGACCGACAUCUGACUCUAAAGAGUGGCCACCUGUGUUGUCAAAGCUGUCACCUGACUGUUUGACUGCGCUGAUGAACGGGGUCUAGGUUCCCUCCGCCUGGCAUUCCCCAUCCCUCGACAAUAUGUCCUCGGCCUCCUCCCGAGAGUCUGAUCCAAUGUCUCCGUCAAGAUCUGAAACCUGUGGAGGAUCUACAGACUCGAUCUGACAGGACCCGAUCCAAAUUUCGCUUUGUAAUCCGAGCCGGACCCUAUGCGUGUCCGACACCUGGCGAAUGUCGGGCACAAAUGACAUAUUUGCCCUUCUAUACAAAACAUGAUAAAAUAACAAGGUUGACGUCUACCAAAAAAAAAAGGGCAGAGUUUCCCUUGUAACUGGCUCAAUACCAACACAUUUACACCUGCCAAACAAGUAUAUAUAUACAUCCAACUGCCAGCAUACAUAUAUAUACAGUCUAACCGUUCAAUUCUCAAUCUAGGGCAAAAC
rnacentral:lncRNA from 1 species